rnacentral:rRNA from 1 species
GACGAACGCUGGCGGCAGGCCUAACACAUGCAAGUCGAACGAGCGGCGGACGGGUGAGUAAUGUCUGGGAAACUGCCUGAUGGAGGGGGAUAACUACUGGAAACGGUAGCUAAUACCGCAUACCAUCGGAUGUGCCCAUAUGGGAUUGGCUUGUAGGUGGGGUAAAGGCUCACCAAGGCGACGAUCCCUAGCUGGUCUGAGCGGAUGACCAGCCACACUGGAACGGAGACACGGUCCAGACUCCUACGAGAGGCAGCAGUGGGGAAUAUUGCACAAUGGGCGAAAGCCUGAUGCAGCCAUGCCGCGUGUAUGAAGAAGGCCUUCGGGUUGUAAAGUACUUUCAGCGGGGAGGCGUUACCCGCAGAAGAAGCACCGGCUAACUCCGUGCCAGCAGCCGCGGUAAUAC